AGGAAAGGCGGCGGGUGGCUUCAGGACAAGGACUUUGUGAUUACAUUGGGCCCAUCCAGAUCAUCCAGGAUCAUCUUCCCAUCUCAAGAUUCUUCACUUAAUCACAUCUGCAAAAUUCCUUUUGCUGUGUAAGCUGUGAGAUAUCGGUGGGCGAGGAUGUGAUGCCUGAAGAUGUGGCAUCUACCUUGAAACAGUCAAGGACCUGAGGAUGAAGCCAGCAUCUGAGGAAGACAGACAGAAAGGAUCUGGAUACAUCAUGAGCCUGAAAAGUAUCUUGCAUACACAACUGGCAGCACAGAAUCCUGACAAACCUCUCAUCAGAAAUCAACCACAGACUCUUUAUGCUCUUACCAAAAUGCUGGCUUUGAGAACUAAUUAUGAAUGAAAAUUACUGAUGUGAUUUUCAGGUGAGAGACCCUAUUAGACAAAAUUUUGGAUUCAUUUUUUUCUCUUGAGUAAAACAUGGGGAAAAAAUCUUUCUCAAUUUUAUCUUUGAAUCAAACUAUAUCAUGAAAGGGCUAUGUUUUUAUCCCUUACAAUUAAUACCAUGAAGGGUCCAGCAAUAGAAUACAUCACCUGUAUUAACUAUAUAACUAUCUUUCAGAAUUAAUUCCUGCAUAGGUAAAUGAGUAAUUCUCUAAUUCCUACAAUUUCUACAACUCUAAGAUUCUGUGAUAUCAAAAUUUUCAAGUAUUAUACUAAACUCUCAAUAUAUAUUGAUAAGCUGGUUCUUUUGCUAUUGCAAAAAUUCAACUAAGAGAUAGGAAAAUGGGUCAAUGGCAACAACAAAUUAAUGGAGACUGCAGCAAAAGAUUAUUUAACAUACUUUCUUCCCUUUUAUGGAAAAGAGAGCUGUUCUCCUUUUUGAACCAUAUUCCCCUAAAUACCCUCACAAUCUUCUUAGGCCUCUCACUCCUUCAUUUUCUUUUCUAGCCCCUUCAUCUCAUCCUUAUUUUGAAUUCAGAUGAGUUAAUACAGUUUGAUGGCCUAGUUCAGAUUCUAGAAAGGGACAGCUAUUCAGAGAUGAUAGUGACAUGCUUUUCUCUUCUCACAUUGCUUCUCUUUAAAGAAUUUACAGGACUUCUGCCUACAUUUACAUCUGAAAACAAUAGUUUCAUUUGGUGUCACAUCCUUGCCCAAAUUUAUUGAGAAUAUUGGUAAAGGACAACAUAUUUACAAGGAUUUCUUUAUUAAAAACUGGGGAGAUUGGCAAGUGACACUGUCACUAAAUAAAUAAAAAUAAAAACUGAGAAAAGCAAUAACAUUUGAUUUGUCAUUUCCCAGUCUAGGGAAGAAUAUCAAGUUAAACUUUAUGAAGUCCAAGACAAUGGGAAAAGAAGAGGUGUUCCUGUCCAGGCCCUCUUCCAGUUAGAAGGUGAUGGUUUCCAGAAGUCUGCACCUGUAUUUCAAUUACCUAUAAUGGAGUUUAUAGGACUAAACUAUAUUCACUAUAUUUUCUUAUUUUUGUGUGUGUGUUUGAUGUGCUGGCAACUGGGGACUUGGUAACUGGGGAGGGAUAGCUCUUCUCAGGAAGAGCUAAUUCUUAGAGAUACAGGGAGCAUGCUUUUCAUAUGCAAACUACUCAAACUGGAGUCCACACUUCCCCAACCUCCUCUAUAGGACUCUUACUCUCCUGCCCGAUAUUCCCCUGCUCUAAUCAUCUUGGGGCCAGGUACCAGGCAACUCAGGACGGCCACUACACCUCCAGAGCCCACUGACAUUAUUAAAACUAGACAAUUCUAAGCUGCUUGCCCUACCUUGACCUUAUUCCUUUUGUUGCAAAACGCAAUAAAGGGUCUUGCCACAUUUUCCUUCUGCUCCCUCUGCCUCCGGACUGACCCUGGUGCUUUCCUUUGUGGGCCUUCGUGGCUUACCUCGUGUUUCUAGGAACCUGCAAGUGUAAAAACUUCUUUCUUCAUGACAGUCAUUUCCAUGACUGCUGCCUUACUAUACCUGAUUUAAACAAAUCCUGAGCACAUUUUAAAACAUAAAUUCAACAGCUGGACCUGCUAUGCAGAGCAAUUCAGGCGGAGGGAAUGGCUCAUGCACACUCUCCAAGUACUGUUAGGUAUGAGUUCUAAAUUUCUCUUCAAAGAAUCAAUAUGUCAGUAUGUUCAGUUCUUUGCCUUCUACUGUUAAACUUAACUUCCUCGUAAAGCAACCUUUUUCCAUUACCUGCUCCACCCUGACUCAUUCUGAUUACCUGCUCAUUCUCCACCCUGGCUUACUCUGAUUUCCUGCUCUGCCCUGUAACCAUUUUUCCCGCCAAACCACUCACCCUGUCACUCUCUUUAAAUUAGCCAAUUGGAAUUAGUUUAGCCUGUGCAGUCUAACCCAAGCCAAUAGGGGAACCAUACAGCAGCAGGGACCACGUGCCUCAGGGAUAAGAACCCCUUCCCCUCCCUUGUCCAAGUGUGCGCUCACGAUUGCUCCAUCUGUAAGGGUGCACCCUUCUAUAGAAGUACGUUGUCUUGCUGAGAAUUAAAAAGAAAAUUUUAUAUUCGAGCGCUAUUUCUUUUGCGGCACUGAAACUUUAUUUAUAAUAGUAUGAAUGAGCCUGGCAUGUGCAGGGAAGAACCAGCAGAUCGGUCUGGCUGGAGCAUAUCAUACGAGGGGAGCGUAAUGGGCAAGGAAGCCAAAGAGGAGGUAGGAGCUAGAUCGUUCAUCACGCAGGGCCUCGAAGGCAAGGGUAAGGAAUUGGGAUUUGAUUCUAAAUGCGAAAGGAAGUAAAUAAAAUAUUUUACGCAAGGAGUGAUUGAAUCUGACAUAUUUUUUAAAAAAUCACUCUGAGGUCUACUUGGAGAAAGAAUUACAAUGAUGCAAGAGUGGAAGCAGAAAAGCCAGUCUGGAGACUACUGCAGGACCUGAGGCAAGAGAUGACAAUGGCUUGGACCAUGCUGGCGGCUGUGGAUAUGGAGCCCAGUGCCAUCUAAAUUUAUCCUAAAGAAUGCAGAAAAUCAAAGACUAGUCUCAUAUGAGACAAACUCAAGCCCCAGCAGAAUAACAAGUGGGACCCUGAGGAGUAUAAAUAAUGCCAGAUCAUUUCUUUCUUUGAUAGAAUGAUGAGUCACCUUAAUCAGGGGAAGAAGAGUUUCUGGUAAAAAAUCUUGAGUCACGCACUUUUUUUUUUUUUAACGUCUCAAGGUAGAAUUGUCUAAUGCUUAGGUGGUCCACAUCUUACAGGUUAUCUAGUUUGGUUCCCAUAUUUCAUGAGUAAGAAAAAUGAAGUGAACUCAUCGUGGUGAGGGUCUUGCCCAAAUUAAACCUCUGGAGAGUAGAUUCUUUAAUGCUCAAGAGGCUUUUUGCAAGGAAAGAACAUACUCUUUGGGCAUUGUUCAAUGCUCAAUUUAUUAGUCUAAUAUUCUAUUCCCAGUAAAAUGCUCAAAUUCAGGAAGGAUUCCAAAAAAUCAGUUCGGGACGGGUGCGGUGGCUCACGCCUGUAAUCCCAGCACUUUGGAAGGCCAAGGCUGGCGGAUCACAAGGUCAGGAGAUCAAGACCAUCCUGGCUAACACGGUGAAACCCCAUCUCUACUAAAAAUACAAAAAAUUAGCCAGGCGUGGCAGCGUGUGCCUGUAGUCCCAGCUGUUGGGGAGGCUGAGGCAGGAGAAUGGUGUGAACCUGGGAGGUGGAGCUUGCGGUGAGCUGAGAUUGCCCUACUGCACUCCAGCCUAGGAGACAGAGCAAGACUCCAUCUCAAAAAAUAAAAUAAAAAAUCAGUUCAAUGUUUUUUCUGUUCUUUUUUGUGCUUCUGUUUUUUAACCUCUUCGAGGUAAGACUGGAUAAUGAUACCCAUCCAACAUAUUUUCAAUAUGUUUUGGAAAACAAAGAUAUUGAUAAGCAGGUACUAUGCAGAGUGCCAGAUUAAAACCUUUAGAGACUCAAAGUUCAAAAAUGUUAUAGAGUCCAUACUCAAUAUGUAAUUCUAUAUAAAAAUAAUACUAGUCCAUAAUGUAAGUGGGAGACCAGCAAGAUCCUGAUAAUUUUCAAAUGACUUUUUCUGUAGUUUAAAAAUAACCACUUUUUAACUUAAAAAAAGUUCUUUUGAUGCCUCUGUUUUUGGUGUCCUAAGAAUGUAUUUAAGCUGCAUUUGGGUAAUCCAGUUGCAGUUGAGCAUCUGCUGUGCUUUACACUAGAUGAGGAAAUGGGAUAUGACAGAGAAUGACUGGAGGGCUUCUUGAUUGCGUUAUCAGAACAGACUUCUCUGAGGAGGGAACUUUCAAGUUGAGGUCUAAAUGAUGAGGAGAACCCAGCUACGUAAAGAUUAAUGGAAUGAGCAACCCAGGAAAAAGAAAGAAAGAAGAAACAGGAUCCUGGACAUCAAGUAGCUCCCCAUCUAGUCAGGGAGACAGACAUAAAAAGAGCUCAUUUUGGCCGCGCAUGGUGGCUCACACCUUUAAUCCCAACACUUUAGGAGGCUGAGGUGGGUGGAUUGCUUGAGGUCAAGUGUUCGACACCAGCCUGACCAACAUGGUGAAACCCUGUCUCUGCUAAAAAUAC
ensembl:lncRNA ST3GAL6-AS1 ST3GAL6 antisense RNA 1